rnacentral:rRNA from 1 species
CACGUAGGCACCAAGCGUUGUCCGGAUUUAUUGGGCGUAAAGAGCUCGUAGGCGGUUCGGUAAGUCGGGUGUGAAAACUUUGGGCUCAACCCAAAGCCUGCACCCGAUACUGCUGUGACUUGAGUCCGGUAGGGGAGUGGGGAAUUCCUGGUGUAGCGGUGGAAUGCGCAGAUAUCAGGAGGAACACCGGUGGCGAAGGCGACUUACUGGACACAUAUUGACGCUGAGGUGCGAAAGCGUGGGGAGCAAACAGG